rnacentral:tRNA from 1 species
GGAGAGGUACCGAAGUGGUCAUAACGGCACCGACUCGAAAUCGGUCGGGGGCUUUGCGCUCCACGCGGGUUCGAAUCCCGCCCUCUCCUCCA